UACGGAGGGUGCGAGCGUUAUUCGGAAUUACUGGGCGUAAAGCGCGUGCAGGCGGGAGAGUGGGUCUUAUGUGAAAGACCGGGGCUUAACACCGGAAGAGCAUUGGAAACUGCUUUUCUUGAGUUUCGGAGAGGAAGGGGGAAUUCCCGGUGUAGAGGUGAAAUUCGUAGAGAUCGGGAGGACCAACGGUGGCGAAGGCGCCCUUCUGGACGACAACUGACGCUGAGACGCGAAAGCGUUGGGAGCAAACAGG
rnacentral:rRNA from 1 species